GACGAACGCUGGCGGCGUGCUUAACACAUGCAAGUCGAACGGAAAGGCCCUGCUUUUGUGGGGUGCUCGAGUGGCGAACGGGUGAGUAACACGUGAGUAACCUGCCCUUGACUUUGGGAUAACUUCAGGAAACUGGGGCUAAUACCGGAUAGGAGCUCCUGCUGCAUGGUGGGGGUUGGAAAGUUUCGGCGGUUGGGGAUGGACUCGCGGCUUAUCAGCUUGUUGGUGGGGUAGUGGCUUACCAAGGCUUUGACGGGUAGCCGGCCUGAGAGGGUGACCGGCCACAUUGGGACUGAGAUACGGCCCAGACUCCUACGGGAGGCAGCAGUGGGGAAUAUUGCACAAUGGGCGGAAGCCUGAUGCAGCAACGCCGCGUGCGGGGUGACGGCCUUCGGGUUGUAAACCGCUUUCGCCUGUGACGAAGCGUGAGUGACGGUAAUGGGUAAAGAAGCACCGGCUAACUACGUGCCAGCAGCCGCGGUGAUACGUAGGGUGCGAGCGUUGUCCGGAUUUAUUGGGCGUAAAGGGCUCGUAGGUGGUUGAUCGCGUCGGAAGUGUAAUCUUGGGGCUUAACCCUGAGCGUGCUUUCGAUACGGGUUGACUUGAGGAAGGUAGGGGAGAAUGGAAUUCCUGGUGGAGCGGUGGAAUGCGCAGAUAUCAGGAGGAACACCAGUGGCGAAGGCGGUUCUCUGGGCCUUUCCUGACGCUGAGGAGCGAAAGCGUGGGGAGCGAACAGGCUUAGAUACCCUGGUAGUCCACGCUGUAAACGGUGGGUACUAGGUGUGGGGUCCAUUCCACGGGUUCCGUGCCGUAGCUAACGCUUUAAGUACCCCGCCUGGGGAGUACGGCCGCAAGGCUAAAACUCAAAGGAAUUGACGGGGCCCCGCACAAGCGGCGGAGCAUGCGGAUUAAUUCGAUGCAACGCGUAGAACCUUACCUGGGUUUGACAUGGAUCGGGAGCGCUCAGAGAUGGGUGUGCCUCUUUUGGGGUCGGUUCACAGGUGGUGCAUGGCUGUCGUCAGCUCGUGUCGUGAGAUGUUGGGUUAAGUCCCGCAGCGAGCGCAACCCUUGUUCACUGUUGCCAGCACGUUAUGGUGGGGACUCAGUGGAGACCGCCGGGGUCAACUCGGAGGAAGGUGGGGAUGACGUCAAGUCAUCAUGCCCCUUAUGUCCAGGGCUUCACGCAUGCUACAAUGGCUGGUACAGAGAGUGGCGAGCCUGUGAGGGUGAGCGAAUCUCGGAAAGCCGGUCUCAGUUCGGAUUGGGGUCUGCAACUCGACCUCAUGAAGACGGAGUCGCUAGUAAUCGCAGAUCAGCAACGCUGCGGUGAAUACGUUCCCGGG
rnacentral:rRNA from 1 species